rnacentral:misc_RNA from 1 species
AGAGUUAAACAGUACGUGAAAUUGUUGAAAGGGAAACGAUUGAAGUCAGUCAUGCUAGUGGGAAAUCAACGUGGUGCUGCGGCUCCCCGUGUACUUUCUUGCCUGCAGGUUAGCAUCAAUUUUGGUUGUCAUCAAAGAAUUGGGGAAAUGUGGCUUCUUUUCGGAGAAGUGUUAUAGACCCUGGUGGAUGUGACGACUGGGAUUGAGGAUUGCAGCGGAUGCCUUUGGCUAGUCACCUGUCUUCUGAAGGUCACCUCGCUUUCAACAGCUUGCUGAUGAUUGUGAGAUUUGGCAGUCUAAAAGGGUAGAAUGAUCAUAAAUUCGCUAAGGAUGCUGACGUAAUGGCUUUAAACGA